rnacentral:tRNA from 2 species
GUUUUAAUAGUUUAAUAUAAAACCAUGGUCUUGUAAAUCAUAAAUAAGAAAUAUCUUUUAAAACU